GUUAUAUAGCCCAGUUGGUCAGGGGAGUUUUUCGUAAGGUUUCUCCUCUCGGGAGGUCUCAGGUUCGACUCCUGCUGUGUAUA
rnacentral:tRNA from 1 species